UACGUAGGCAGCAAGCGUUGUUCGGAAUUACUGGGCGUAAAGAGUGUGUAGGCGGUGCUCCAAGUCUGGUGUGAAAUCUUCCGGCUUAACUGGGAGGGUGCAUUAGAAACUGGAAUGCUAGAGGAUGGGAGAGGUAAGCGGAAUUCCUGGUGUAGCGGUGAAAUGCGUAGAUAUCAGGAGGAACACCUGUGGUGUAGACAGCUUACUGGACCAUUUCUGACGCUGAGACACGAAAGCGUGGGUAGCAAACAGG
rnacentral:rRNA from 1 species